CCUUGGAAGAUGUGGUUCCCACUGGAACGAAAAGGGGUGGAGAGCACUGUCAGUGUUUUAUACAGUUUGCUUGUAUGUAUAACAGCACAAGACUUCAUUCGCUGCAUCAUAAUCACCAGACAAGACAGCUGCCUAUUUAGAAAUUGCUACUUAUUUGACAGGUCUGUUUCAGCCCAGUUGUGACCCUUAUGGUUUGCAGAUUAAUAAAAUCUGUUUCACACUU